AGUUAGAACGCUCGUAGUCGGAUUUCGGGGCGUUCCGACCGGUCUGCCGAUGGGUAUGCACUGGCCGGAGUGUCCUUUUUGCCGGAGACCGUGCCUACUCUUAACUGAGCGGGGGCGGGAGACGGCACUUUUACUUUGAAAAAAUCAGAGUGUUUCAAGCAGGCAGCUCGCUCUUGCAUGGAUUAGCAUGGGAUAAUGAAAUAGGACUUUGGUGCUAUUUUGUUGGUUUCGAACACCGAAGUAAUGAUGAGAAGGGACAGUCAGGGGCACUCGUAUUCCGCAGAGAGAGGUGAAAUUCUCAGACCCGCGGAAGACGAACCACUGCGAAAGCAUUUGCCAGGGAUGUUUUCACUGAUCAAGAACGAAAGUUAGGGGAUCGAAGAUGAUCAGAUACCGUCGUAGUCUUAACCAUAAACCAUGCCGACUAGGGAUUGGAGGAUGUUCACUGAUUGACUCCUUCAGCACCUUACGGGAAACUAAAGUCUUUGGGUUCCGGGGGGAGUAUGGUCGCAAGGCUGAAACUUAAAGGAAUUGACGGAAGGGCACCACCAGGUGUGGAGCCUGCGGCUUAAUUUGACUCAACACGGGGAAACUUACCAGGUCCAGACAUUGUGAGGAUUGACAGAUUGAGAGCUCUUUCAUGAUUUAAUGGGUGGUGGUGCAUGGCCGUUCUUAGUUGGUGGAGUGAUUUGUCUGGUUAAUUCCGUUAACGAACGAGACCUUAGCCUGCUAAAUAGUGACGCGAACUCUUUGUUGGCGGUCCACUUCUUAGAGGGACAACUUGUCUUCAACAAGUGGAAGUUUGAGGCAAUAACAGGUCUGUGAUGCCCUUAGAUG
rnacentral:rRNA from 1 species